rnacentral:rRNA from 1 species
AGUGAACGCUGGCGGUAGGCCUAACACAUGCAAGUCGAACGGCAGCACAGUAAGAGCUUGCUCUUACGGGUGGCGAGUGGCGGACGGGUGAGGAAUACAUCGGAAUCUACUUUUUCGUGGGGGAUAACGUAGGGAAACUUACGCUAAUACCGCAUACGACCCACGGGUGAAAGCAGGGGAUCUUCGGACCUUGCGCGAUUGAAUGAGCCGAUGUCGGAUUAGCUAGUUGGCGGGGUAAAGGCCCACCAAGGCGACGAUCCGUAGCUGGUCUGAGAGGAUGAUCAGCCACACUGGAACUGAGACACGGUCCAGACUCCUACGGGAGGCAGCAGUGGGGAAUAUUGGACAAUGGGCGCAAGCCUGAUCCAGCAAUACCGCGUGGGUGAAGAAGGACUUCGGGUUGUAAAGCCCCUUUGUUGGGAAAGAAAAGCAGCAGGUUAAUACCCCGCUGUUCUGACGGUACCCAAAGAAUAAGCACCGGCUAACUUCGUG